UGCGUCCCAUCAAAGAGGCAGCCUCAUACGGUUAUGCAACAUCAUUGAUGAAGGCCCUUCAGGAAAGCAACACCCAUUCACCUGCAGCUCUUCGAGAGACAAGUCCAAUGAUUUAGUUGUAAGUAUUUAUUUUAGUUGUUAUUUAUCUUCUUUCCUUCUGUCCCUGUCAUCUCAUUUGGUGGUGGUUUCCUGUAUUCUGCAUGUUUUGUGUGUUGUUGCUUUGGUUUUACUUUGCACUAAAUCAUUACUUUUUUUCGUCUUUGUAAGUGGCAUUAAUUGUCGCUGUACCCCAUUCAAGGGGUCCUGCAUGCUGCAUGUCUGCUCCUCUGUCUGUUAUUUGCAUGAAAUUUGUUUUAUGUAAUUCAAAAUAAUUUACCAAUCAUUUUACCUGUGCCUUGUCAACCUCUGUGUGCGGU